GAUGAACGCUGGCGGCGUGCCUAAUACAUGCAAGUCGAGCGAACGGACGAGAAGCUUGCUUCUCUGAUGUUAGCGGCGGACGGGUGAGUAACACGUGGAUAACCUACCUAUAAGACUGGGAUAACUUCGGGAAACCGGAGCUAAUACCGGAUGAUAUUUUGAACCGCAUGGUUCAAAAGUGAAAGACGGUCUUGCUGUCACUUAUAGAUGGAUCCGCGCUGCAUUAGCUAGUUGGUAAGGUAACGGCUUACCAAGGCAACGAUGCAUAGCCGACCUGAGAGGGGGAUCGGCCACACUGGAACCUAGACACGGUCCAGACCCCUACGGGAGGCAGCAGUAGGGAAUCUUUCGCCAUGGGCGAAAGCCUGACCGAGCAACCGCGCGUUGGUUAUGAAGGUCUUCGGAUCGUAAAACUCUGUUAUUAGGGAAGAAAAUAUGUGUAAGUAACUGUGCCCAUCUUGACGGUACCUAAUCAGAAAGCCACGGCUAACUACGUG
rnacentral:rRNA from 1 species